rnacentral:lncRNA from 1 species
AUUUUUUUAAAAAAAUAGAUUUAAAAUUUGGACAUUAUUUCAAAAUUUUAAUGUAAAUUUUUAAUAUUUAAUUUGAAUUUAAAUUAAUAUAUUAUAAAUAUAAUGUUAAUAUUUUAAUUUGAUUAUGUUUUUUAUAUCCACCUGAACCAAACACUGACAAUGGGAAUGAUUUAUUCCGAUUCCGAUUCAGGUGAUGAACCAAACAGAAUUAGGUAGUGAGUCAUUCCGAUUCCGAUUCCAGCUUAUUUUGAUUCCGAUUCCGAUUUCGACUCCAACUUCGAACCAAACACGCCCUGAGUUUCUCUUCUCUCUUAUUAACGUUCACGCUUCGGGGGCGUUUGGAUAGACGAAUCUAUAGAUCCAACGUAAGUCAAGUGCAGUGGUGUUUGAGUUUUCCUGAAGUGUGAUUAUUUUGUUGUUGUUUGUUUUGAUGUAACUCGUACAGUCUGAAAGUUUAAUUCAAUUAUUUCUUCUGUUUGUUUUUAUGUAACUUGGUCCUGAUGAAAUUAAUUUUUUGAGUUUUAUUGUUUGUUUUGAUUUAAGUAAGUGAAUUCCGUUAUCUCCUAAAUAUAGUGAUAAAUUUAACUUAUUAUAUAAUUAAAUUUUUUAUUAUUGUUUAAAGAUAAUCCUAACUUAUUAUAAAUAAGAUAAUUCUAACCCAUUAUAAAGUAAAUAGAAUUUAGAUUUUAUUAUUUAAUAAAUUUUUUAGAGGGGGUUGUGUGUGGCGGAAGUCGAGUUUGGCAUUUUAGAGGAGAAAGUCGAGAAUAGGUGAAGUAAAGGUCUAGCGUAACUUCAGUUACACUAUAUUUUUGACUUAGAUCAAAACAAAUAAUGGAAGUGAUGGAACUUGACUUCCAUCCCUUCACUUACACUAAAACAAAC